rnacentral:piRNA from 1 species
UGUUUAUGCAUUUGAACCUGACAUAGGUGU